rnacentral:rRNA from 1 species
GAGUGAAGCGGCAACAGCUCAAAUUUGAAAUCUGGCGUCUUUGGCGUCCGAGUUGUAAUUUGCAGAGGGCGCUUUGGCAUUGGCAGCGGUCCAAGUUCCUUGGAACAGGACGUCACAGAGGGUGAGAAUCCCGUACGUGGUCGCUAGCCUUUACCGUGUAAAGCCCCUUCGACGAGUCGAGUUGUUUGGGAAUGCAGCUCUAAAUGGGAGGUAAAUUUCUUCUAAAGCUAAAUACUGGCCAGAGACCGAUAGCGCACAAGUAGAGUGAUCGAAAGAUGAAAAGCACUUUGGAAAGAGAGUUAAAAAGCACGUGAAAUUGUUGAAAGGGAAGCGCUUGCAGCCAGACUUGCCUGUAGUUGCUCAUCCGGGUUUCUACCCGGUGCACUCUUCUAUAGGCAGGCCAGCAUCAGUUUGGGCGGUUGGAUAAAGGUCUCUGUCAUGUACCUCCUUUCGGGGAGAACUUAUAGGGGAGACGACAUGCAACCAGCCUGGACUGAGGUCCGCGCAUCUGCUAGGAUGCUGGCGUAAUGGCUGUAAGCGGCCCGUCUUGAAACACGGACCAAGGAGUCUAACAUCUAUGCGAGUGUUUGGGUGUCAAGCCCGAGCGCGUAAUGAAAGUGAACGGAGGUGGGAACCUUUCGGGGUGCACCAUCGACCGAUCCUGAUGUCUUCGGAUGGAUUUGAGUAAGAGCAUAGCUGUUGGGACCCGAAAGAUGGUGAACUAUGCUUGAAUAGGGUGAAGCCAGAGGAAACUCUGGUGGAGGCUCGCAGCGGUUCUGACGUGCAAAUCGAUCGUCAAAUUUGGGCAUAGGGGCGAAAGACUAAUCGAACUAUCUAGUAGCUG